CAUAAUUGAAGAGGGACACAGCCGCCGGAGAGUGAGGGGCAGGAGAGGCGCACGCUGCACUCUCCUCCCCUCACAGACAGCAGCAGCAGCGCGGCCACUGAUGAAGGCUGGGAUGCAGGUCGAACGCGGACAGUACAUGUGGAAAACACACAGACUCUCACCAUGGAGCUGAGCAUAGGUGAAGCAUCCCGGUAACCAACAGAACACUGUAUGCAGCAAAUUACGUAACAUGGAGGAAGUGCCUAGAUGGCUAACGUUCCUACCUCAACUAACUUUGGCCUCACAAAUUGAGCAGAUGCUUUCACAAACAUUGCCAGGAUUGAGAUGGAUGCACAGAUCACCCCUUUCAGAUACAGCAGACAGAGCACCCCUUCCAGAUACAGCAGACAGAGCACCCCGUCUGGAGGGAUACAGCAGACAGAGCACCACUUUCAGAUUCAACAGAGCACCCCUUUCAGAUACAGCAGACAGAGCACCCCUUCCAGAUACAGCAGACAGAGCACCCCGUCUGGAGGGAUACAGCAGACAGAGCACCCCUUCCAGAUACAACAGAGCACCCUUUUCAGAUACAGCAGACAGAGCAUGCACCCCACAUCAGACAACACAGUACUGAGACAGACACAUCCGUCCAGUACACUCUACACAGCCGUAGUGAAGAUGGCACCCAUAACCAGGACCUUUAUAGAAUACAAAAACCUGUGAGAAUCCGACAGCGGGAUGAUGACGUUCAGCCUCGAUUUGGGAUCCGAGUAAGGCGGGAAGUCCCGAGCCAGACUUGGAUCUGGACUCGGAUUCCAAAGUUCGGGUGUGUCCAGUUCUUGGAGAACCAGACCCGCUCAUCUCUAAUAAUAACCAUUUUAAAAUACAUAGAGCAUUAUUAGUAUGUGACUGCACUGUGGUCCCCCCCUUACCCCCAUCCCCACCUUACCCCCCUCUUCCCCCUUCCCUUUACAUCUGACACUUUAUUGACGAUGUUUCUUCUCUCGAUUAUUGUUGUUUCUUUUUACGAAAAUAAUAUGGUUUGUGUUGGACGGUGGUUCCUUGACCGUUUGUCCUUUUUCUUAUUGUAUUGCUUAUCCAGUUUAUUUGACCAUACAAAAUAAAGAAUUUAAAAUAAAAAUAAAAAAAAUACAUAGA